GGAACGAUCCUAGCUUGCUAGGAGGCGUCGAGCGGCGGACGGGUGAGUAAUGCAUAGGAAUCUGCCCGGUAGUGGGGGAUAACCUGGGGAAACCCAGGCUAAUACCGCAUACGCCCUACGGGGGAAAGCAGGGGAUCUUCGGACCUUGCGCUAUCGGAUGAGCCUAUGUCGGAUUAGCUAGUUGGUGAGGUAACGGCUCACCAAGGCUGCGAUCCGUAGCUGGUCUGAGAGGAUGAUCAGCCACAUCGGGACUGAGACACGGCCCGAACUCCUACGGGAGGCAGCAGUGGGGAAUAUUGGACAAUGGGCGAAAGCCUGAUCCAGCCAUGCCGCGUGUGUGAAGAAGGCCUUCGGGUUGUAAAGCACUUUCAGUGAGGAAGAAAGCCUUGAGGUUAAUACCCUCGAGGGAGGACAUCACUCACAGAAGAAGCACCGGCUAACUCCGUGCCAGCAGCCGCGGUAAUACGGAGGGUGCGAGCGUUAAUCGGAAUUACUGGGCGUAAAGCGCGCGUAGGCGGCUUGAUAAGCCGGUUGUGAAAGCCCCGGGCUCAACCUGGGAACGGCAUCCGGAACUGUCAGGCUAGAGUGCAGGAGAGGAAGGUAGAAUUCCCGGUGUAGCGGUGAAUGCGUAGAGAUCGGGAGGAAUACCAGUGGCGAAGGCGGCCUUCUGGACUGACACUGACGCUGAGGUGCGAAAGCGUGGGUAGCAACAGGA
rnacentral:rRNA from 1 species